GGUACUGAUCGUUUGAUCAUAUUUACGCGGUGCGUAGAGAACAUGUGCUCCUUUUUUGUGUGAAUUAACGAUCACUGAGCCCUGGGUCCUGUGCAAUGCUAUUAGCUCGCUGUAUGUUUCUUGCGGUGCGCCGUUGUUGAUUAUCGUAGUGCGGUCCACACGCGCUUUCUUUGUGCCCGGCUCAUGAGAAGUGUUGUACUCUCGCCGCUCCCGCAUCGGCUCACAGUGCACGGAAGAAUGUGUUGAUAGUUGUGCUAUCGCGUGCUGUAGUUCACCGCAAUUCAACACUACGCUGGACGGACUGUUGGUGCAGUCGAUACGGCGUGAACGGCCACGAAGGAGCGCUCGCCUCAGAAGGUAAGUCCGGCGCCUAGCGCAUUCUUAUGGUUCAUGUAGUGUACCUUGUCAUGCGCAGCAGAUGAUUAGUACAGCUACAAAAACAGUGACAGUGAUUCCCUAAUGUUCGUUCGAUAUCGUAGUGCACAUUUAGGAAAACGUUUCACGAAAAUUACCCCGAGAUUGAUGUUGUUAAGAGCUUCAUCUAUUGUUUAUUUUCUUUUUGUUAUGAAGUAUGCUAGCGCCGGGGCAUCGCUUGGUCUGAACGGGCACAAAAAUUCAAGCAGGGAAUGUCACUGCUUCUGUACGUAAUUCCUCAGCAAGAAAUCGUAUAGACAAUUCUAGAAGUACGUUGAUGUGUUGUGCAAAUGUUUUCACAGCUAACGUCAACGCGCGACGGCAUCCAAAUGAUCUGACUCGUGAGAAGAUUUUAGCUUGUAUGCAAACUUUGAUGCUUAUAGAUUGUCGCCAAGACAACCUGUAUUUCUUGUGUUUAGUGUUCUGUUUGUUUUCGUGCCUUUGACAUGUUUAAUAACCGCCUGUGAUGUAAGAAUGAAAUAUUUAUUUGUCUAAGCGGAUGCAGCUUCUUGUAGCUGGCUGUACGAGAGCUUUCCACAAUUUGACGCGAUGUUGUUAAAUCACAAGUUUGCAGAUUCAGCAGUGAUUACAAUAAGCUGAACAUUUAUUGUUUAGGGAUGUCACAAUUUCCUGAGACGGCGGCAUCUCUGCACCACAAAGGAGACUGCGGCACUAUGCAGCCUGAACAGCACGACAAAGCAUCUGAUCUGCCUGCUUUGACAAGAUGUGGCUGGGCCUGCAGAAAGAGUGUAAGCACACUACUGUGUUGCUGAUCAGUGCUGGUGCUGAUCUCUACGUCUGAGUUGGCCUCACAACGUCCAGGCGCCACUGUGCUUUGCUUCAUUGACAAGGUGUGGCUGGGCCUGCAGAAAAGCUGUAAGCAGACUGCAGUGUUGCUGAUCAGUGCUGAUCUCCACGUCCGAGUUGGUCCCACAAUAUCCAGGCACCACGGUGCUUUCACAAGAGGCAUACGAGCACUUUGUUUCAAAAACACCAAGCACCGUGGAUACAGAGGCAAGGAGGCUGAAGGACCUGAACAAGCACCUGGCCACCAUGCUUUGGGAUGCAAAAUAAAGAUGGUUUGUGUUA
rnacentral:lncRNA from 1 species